GCGAGAAUGUUUAUAGUUGUGCAGCCCUCAUGACGAGCACCCGCAUCCAGCUAUAUGAUGUCAAUCGGCGGACCCUGACGCAAUGGCACAACCAGAGGAGCAAGGCCAUGAUGAGGGACACCAUCGCCAUUGCAGUCCUGGAGCCCAGCACUCCCCAGACUGCAGCGGAGCCCCUGCCUGCCCCACCGACUGUGCUGCAUCAGCCUGAGCAGCCAGACCAGCCCCUCCAGCACCGCCUGCCCACGGACGCUUCUGGUCCUGGACCUCAUCGUCGCCAGCUCCUCCACUGCCUACUCCUCCUCCUCAUCAGCCACCCCACAAGCCUCCAGCGCGGACGCCGUCCUGUCCACCAGCGUCAGUGCGGAGGCCGGUGACAUCCCCUCCACAGCCACAGCUGCCACUGCUCCACCAGUGCCAAGGAACACCGCCUGGAGGCGCAAGCUCCAGGAGGAGAAAGAGCGUUGUGCCGGGAGCUGGGAGAACACUUAAAACCAGCAAAGAAGGUCUCCCACUUUAACUGCAGGCGCAGUGGCCAACCGAAGACGCGGGCGUUUGGCCACAGCCGCUACAAGAAGGAGACCUUCUGCUCCCGGGCCGAGGGGAAAGGGAGAACUGUGGAGCAGUGGCUGGCAGAGGUGAAGGGGCGUGAUGGAGCAGCCCCCCCUGCCUGAGCGAACACUUCACUUUGUGUGUGUGUGUGUGUGUGUAGUGAGUGAUGGGGCGGCUCCCCCUCUCUGAGCGAACGCUUUGUGUGUGUGUGUGUGUGUGUGUGUGUGUGUUUGGAGGGAGGGAUUUGUAAAUAUUGUGUAUAUAGUGUAUUUAGUUUGUCAAUUAUGUUUGCUAAAUAAAUAUUGUGUAUAUAGUUGUCUUAUAUAAGAUAUUCCUUUAUUUGUCCCACAAUGGGGAAAUUCCAAUAUAUAUCUAUAUAGUUGUAUAUUGCUGUCUUAAUUGUUUUUGUUUUAAAUAAACUUUUCUUUUUUAAACCAAUGCUUUCUCCUGCUUCUUUCGGUCUUUAAGAAAUUAAAUAAAUAUAGGGAAGACUAGGUAUCUAGACUAGGUGCCUGAUAUCACUAAAUUCCCACAGGUAAAGUCACACAAUACAUCAUUCCCUCUCCUCACUUAAAACUA
rnacentral:lncRNA from 15 species